AUUGAACGCUGGCGGCAUGCCUAACACAUGCCAGUCGAACGGCAGCACAGUAGCAGCUUGCUGUUACGGAGUGCCAGUCGCGGGAGGGUUAGGUCUACACCUGUAUCUACUUUUUCGUUGGGGCUGACGUAGGGGGACUUACACUACUACCGCAUACCGCCUGCGAGUGAGAGCCGGGGAUCUUCGGACCUUUCGCGAUUGACUGUGCCGAUGUCGGAUUAGCUAGUUGGAGGGGUAAAGGCCCACCAAGGCGACGAUCAGUAGCUGGUCUGAGAGGACGACCAGCCACACUGGAACUGAGACACGGCCCAGACUCCUACGGGAGGCAGCAGUGGGGAAUAUUGGACAAUGGGCGCAAGCCUGAUCCAGCAAUGCCGCGUGUGUGAAGAAGGCCUUCGGGUUGUAAAGCCCUUUUGUUGGGAAAGAAAAGCAUCAGGCUAAUACAGUCGGGUGAUGACGGUACCGAAAGAAUAAGCACCGGCUAACUACGUG
rnacentral:rRNA from 1 species